rnacentral:rRNA from 1 species
GAUGAACGCUAGCUACAGGCUUAACACAUGCAAGUCGAGGGGUAACGAGAGGAAAGCUUGCUUUCCUUGUCGACGACCGGCGCACGGGUGAGUAACGCGUAUCCAACCUGCCCCCAACUAAGGAAUAACCUUGCGAAAGUAAGACUAAUACCUUAUAAUUUCCUCAGAUGUCAUCUGACGAGGAAUAAAGAUUUAUCGGUUGUGGAUGGGGAUGCGUUUGAUUAGCUUGUUGGCGGGGUAACGGCCCACCAAGGCAACGAUCAGUAGGGGUUCUGAGAGGAAGGUCCCCCACAUUGGAACUGAGACACGGUCCAAACUCCUACGGGAGGCAGCAGUGAGGAAUAUUGGUCAAUGGGCGGAAGCCUGAACCAGCCAAGUAGCGUGCAGGAUGACGGCCCUAUGGGUUGUAAACUGCUUUUAUACAGGAAUAAAGUUAGCCACGUGUGGUUAUUUGUAGGUACUGUAUGAAUAAGGAUCGGCUAACUCCGUGCCAGCAGCCGCCGUAA